rnacentral:rRNA from 1 species
ACCUGGAAGUGUGGCGGGCGAUGUGUUUGGCCGAAACAAAAAUAGAUGCUCGAACAGAGCAGCUGUAAUUGUUGACGCAGGCCAAAGUCGCGAAAGCACAAUCUUGUGCGACGUUGGACGAAUUUACCACCUAUCAGGUAUUGAAGGUAGUGUAGUGGACUACCUUGCCUCUGACGGGUAACGGGGGAUUGGGGUUCGAUUCCGGAGAGGGUGCCUGAGAGACGGCAACCAUGACUAUGGUCAGCAGCAGGCGCGCAAAUUGCCCAAUGCCAACAAAUGGCGAGGCAGCGACGAAAAAUAGCAGUCCCUUAGGGGAUUUGCAAUGGACUGUACCCAAACAAACUGAUGAUUAUCUAUUGGAGGGCAAGUCUGGUGCCAGCAGCCGCGGUAAUUCCAGCUCCAAGAGCGUAUAUAAAUGUUGUUGCGGUUAAAAAGCCCGUAGUUGGAUUUGAGGAUGCUUCUUGUAUUCGCAUCUGAGUGAAGGGGUUUCCUGGAUCGCAGAGGCGAGUACGCUACGGAGGUAUCCUGACAUAUGCGGGAUUGUCCACUGGCCGAAGCUUCCUUAACUGGUAGCUGAAGCAACUUCGGAGCUUCAAUACUCCAAAAGGUGCGCCCGCAGACGUCACUGUGAGUAAAACAGAGUGUUCAAGGCAGCCAAUUUGUUUGGUUGAAUGUUAAAGCAUGGAAUGACAAGGGAUCGACCACUGAAGCCGCUUUUUGUCUAUUACUUUAAGCCUCAGUGAGGAAACAUUGGUUGGAUGUCCGGGCUAACGCUCGGCGUCCAAUCGCCGGGAUCAAUAGGAGCACAGGGGGUCAUGAGUACUGGAGGGCUAGAGGUGAAAUUCCAAGACCCCUCCAAGACUGACAUCGGCGAAAGCACUCGACUAUUGUGCUUUCAUUAAUCAAGGACGAGAGAUAGGGGAUCGAAGAGGAUUAGACACCCUCGUAGUCCUUUCUGUAAAUUCUGCAGACUUGGGAUCGGCCAGCGUUCUACUUUUUGACCUGGUCGGCACCUUCCUCCGACAUCGAGAAAUCAAAGUCUUUGUGUUCCGGGGGGAGUACAUUCGCAAGGCUGAAACUUAAAGGAAUUGACGGAGAACCACCACCAGUCGUGGAGUGUGUGGCUUAAUUCGACUCAACACGGGAAAUUUUACCAGGCCAGGACGUGGCGAGGAUUGCCAGAUUGAAAGCUCUUGCAUGAUUCCGCGGAGGGUAGUGCAUGGCCGCUUCUGGUUGGUGAAGUGAUUAGAUCGGAAGAGCGUCGUGUAGGGAAAGAGUGUAGAUCUCGGUGGUCG